AAAACUUUUCCAAAAGAAAAAAUCUGUUCUCAUCAGGUUAAUACCUGAUACGUCCCCUAUCUGGGGACCAUAUAUUAAAUAGAUGUUUGGAACAGGGAGAUGGAAUAGGGGCUUGCUCCGUCCACUCCACGCAUCGACCUGGUAUUGCAGUACCUCCAGGAACGGUGCACCCCCU
ensembl:snRNA U2 U2 spliceosomal RNA